GUUUGCUCACUUUCAUAAUUUUGGCAUCCCUACUGGGCAAUCCCAAGAUAAAAGAUGGUGGGAAGUGCAAAAGAGAGUGUUCUUCAGAAAAACACAAAAGUUCCUCAGGCUUGCUCAGAACGCAUCAGCUUCCAUCGUUUGCAUCAAAAACAAUCAUGAUUGCUUGCAGGUCUCUCUAAACAGCUGUCACUUUUCUGCCGAAAACAAUCGGAGCCAUCGCAGCAGCUUGUUGACUUUUGAUCGGUGAUUAAUUCAGGGCAGGAGUUGCAUAUUCCAAUAAUCCCAGUGCUUGCAUAUAUGUGAAAGCCGCGUAAGACAAUCGCGACGUUGCACAACUUUACCGCUUCAUCCUCGGCCACCGAUAGUAAACAUCUGCACCGUUCUGAAAUUUCGUUCCUUACCACCGCCCACUACUCAUUCGACAACGAAUAAGGCACUAUGUAUAUUGUGAACAUAUAAGGCUGUUUAAAAUCCUUUAACCAAUAUCGGGGCAAUAACACUAGAUCAUCAGUUUUGUCCACUAUUGCUGCGGAUCUACUAAUCGACGAAAACAAUGAGGAACAAAAUCGUCAAGUGGACAGAAAAUACUCGAAGCGGAUUCAGCAUACAACCAACAAUACAUAAUCAAAGAGGUCCAAUUUGACAAAACUCGCCAAAUCGUCAGCAAGGCCAGGGCCACUAAGCUGGAUCAUUCGUUAGUUGAUUGUUCUUCAACUCGGAAGCGGAAAAGGACAAGUUUACUUGUGUAAAGUGUACAUCGAUUGAGCCAUACAGGAAAAGCUCUUGCGACAUCAAAAAUAUCGAAAUUCGACACGAAACCUCUCGAACUCGACAAUUCUUGUUAGCUGAGCUAAAGCAAUGCAUCGAGAAAUUUAUUCAAGAUAACCACAUCACUCCAGUAGGACACCUACAUGGUAAAACCAGUAAAGGCCCAAACGCAAUGAGAGCGGAACGGCAA